GACGAACGCUGGCGGCGUGCCUAAUACAUGCAAGUCGAGCGAGCUUGCCUAGAUGAAUUUGGUGCUUGCACCAAAUGAAACUAGAUACAAGCGAGCGGCGGACGGGUGAGUAACACGUGGGUAACCUGCCCAAGAGACUGGGAUAACACCUGGAAACAGAUGCUAAUACCGGAUAACAACACUAGACGCAUGUCUAGAGUUUAAAAGAUGGUUCUGCUAUCACUCUUGGAUGGACCUGCGGUGCAUUAGCUAGUUGGUAAGGUAACGGCUUACCAAGGCAAUGAUGCAUAGCCGAGUUGAGAGACUGAUCGGCCACAUUGGGACUGAGACACGGCCCAAACUCCUACGGGAGGCAGCAGUGAGGAAUAUUGGUCAAUGGACGCAAGUCUGAACCAGCCAAGUAGCGUGCAGGAUGACGGCCCUAUGGGUUGUAAACUGCUUUUAUGUGGGAAUAAAUUGGCGCACGUGUGCGCCAUUGCAUGUACCUCAUGAAUAAGGACCGGCUAAUUCCGUGCCAGCAGCCGCGGUAAUACGGAAGGUCCGGGCGUUAUCCGGAUUUAUUGGGUUUAAAGGGAGUGUAGGCGGUCUGUUAAGCGUGUUGUGAAAUUUAGGUGCUCAACAUUUAACUUGCAGCGCGAACUGUCAGACUUGAGUACACGCAGCGCAGGCGGAAUUCAUGGUGUAGCGGUGAAAUGCUUAGAUAUCAUGAGGAACUCCGAUCGCGAAGGCAGCCUGCGGGAGUGUUACUGACGCUUAAGCUCGAAGGUGCGGGUAUCGAACAGG
rnacentral:rRNA from 1 species